rnacentral:sRNA from 1 species
GGAAGCGGCUAACUAUGGCGACCGCCACGGAGCAGUGGGUUCUGGUGGAGAUGGUACAGGCGCUUUACGAGGCUCCUGCUUACCAUCUUAUUUUGGAAGGGAUUCUGAUCCUCUGGAUAAUCAGACUUCUUUUCUCUAAGACUUACAAAUUACAAGAACGAUCUGAUCUUACAGUCAAGGAAAAAGAAGAACUGAUUGAAGAGUGGCAACCAGAACCUCUUGUUCCUCCCGUCCCAAAAGACCAUCCUGCUCUCAACUACAACAUCGUUUCAGGCCCUCCAAGCCACAAAACUGUGGUGAAUGGAAAAGAAUGUAUAAACUUCGCCUCAUUUAAUUUUCUUGGAUUGUUGGAUAACCCUAGGGUUAAGGCAGCAGCUUUAGCAUCUCUAAAGAAGUAUGGCGUGGGGACUUGUGGACCCAGAGGAUUUUAUGGCACAUUUGAAUGAAGAUGAAGGAUCAUUGAUUUCCUUGUGUAUGGAUAAUCCGGGAACAGGCCAACUAAAUAUUUGAUGAGUGUAUGAUUUCAAAUACAGUGAAUUCCCUGGGAGUCAUCAAAGAAGACUGGCAUUUUAUGAUGUUCAUUUGGAUUUGGAAGAGCGCCUGGCAAAAUUUAUGAAGACAGAAGAAGCCAUUAUAUACUCAUAUGGAUUUGCCACCAUAGCCAGUGCUAUUCCUGCUUACUCUAAAAGAGGGGACAUUGUUUUUGU